UACGGAGGGUGCGAGCGUUGUCCGGAAUCACUGGGCGUAAAGGCGCGUAGGCGGCCGCGUAAGUCACUUGUGAAAUCCCGGGGCUCAACUCCGGGGCUGCAGGUGAGACUGCGUGGCUAGAGCUUGGUAGAGGCGAGUGGAAUUCCCGGUGUAGCGGUGGAAUGCGUAGAUAUCGGGAAGAACACCGGUGGCGAAGGCGGCUCGCUGGGCCAAUGCUGACGCUGAGGCGCGAAAGCGUGGGGAGCAAACAGG
rnacentral:rRNA from 1 species